UAUCAUACAGCUGUUACUCUUUCUCCUUGAUAUUUUCACUUUCUCUCUCUCGGGUAGCGCACUGGUCGCGCUUCUUCGUUGCGGCACUGAGUGAGGUGGUUCACUCUCUCUGCCUCUUUCUCUUCUCUGUCCCUAGAAACAAACCAUCAUCUUCUCAGAUCUAUACCAAAAGCAAAACCCUAAACACUUCCUUGCCUUGUUUUGGUUCCUCUUCCAAUUUGAUCCCAUCAUCAAUGGCUUUCGCAUGCAGCAGAAUUGCGCAACGAACAUCAAUUUCAUCUAUAAAAUCAGCCAUCAAAUUCAACAUUCGCGCUUCUUCAUUCUCCAAAACAACUUCCUCCUUUUCUCCUAUUCACCAAUCCUUAUUGACCAGGAUUUCGCAGGAGCUGAGAUGCACGCAGUCGAUGUUGCUGCUGCACAGCACGGUGGUGGCGGCGAGAAUGACGUCGUGUCUGACUUUCAAAAGUUGUCGAGCGCUUUCACCGGGUACUCUCUGUUGCACCUCUCCUGGCCUCUAAUACUCUCCUUUUCAAAAUUAUUCGCAAACCGUGAGUUGCUUCUUUGCUUCUCGGCUUGGGUUUAGUUUUUUUAUGGAUUUUCUUUUUUCUCUUCCCGCUUUCGAAUAAGCUUUGUGAAUUGUGAGUGAACUGCUAAAAUUAAGAAGAAGAAAAAACUAAUACACUUAGUCUAUCUGUUUGUUUAAUUAGGACCCAUGCUUUGGUAUUUUUCUUAGGCAACUAGCAGUUUUUCAUUUGAGGUUCUUAUCUGAGUUUAAUUGGCGAAUUUGGGUUUUUCAAAAUCAUUUAAAAAGCUUUAGUCUAUUUGAUUUUGCUUUCUAAAUUUGUGCACCAUUUAGCCUCUUGAUAAUACUGUUGUGUUAAUUGUCGAUACUAGUAGAAGAUAAUUUCCCAAUCUAUAUCAGAGGUGUUCUGCUGUUUCUCCAACCUCUUGGCUAUCUCAAACUGGUAGAAGCUUUCCUUUAGGUCUUCCUCAUAGUAUGUAUUGAUUAACUGUUUCACCUUCCUCAUAGUAUGUAUUAAAAAAUCUUUUUAACAAAUAAAUUGGUGAUGCACCCUCAGGUCUUGAAGUGAGAGACAAUGCAAUAUCCAUGGAUGCAAUUUCUACUACUAUCAUAUCUUAUAAUUUUUGGCCUCCAAUAUAGGUUUGGCAGACAAGAUUCGUGUGAAAAUAAACUUAGGACUGCUUGUGUAAUUGCUGUUGCAAAGGCUCGUGUUUUACCUACUACUAUUAUUAUUAUUAUUAUUAAAAAUUUUUUGACAGAGUUCUUUAAAAAGGAGCCUAGGUGGACUAUGUGUGCAAUUCUCAGCCCAACUUUUAAAAUACGGGAGUUUCAGGUAAAAAAUUCCCCUGCCAUUGUAAUGUUUUAAAAUUACUCAAUAUAAAACUGUUCAGAUCUUUUUAGGAAUUUUAUAUUGUGACAACCAGGCCAAGUUUCCUCAUCAAUGUUCCCCAAAACACUUACAAUUCUGCUGACUUUGAAAUAUUCUUCAUGACUCAAGGUUCCAUGAUUUGGAUUUUCAUAUGCAAUUUGGUUUAAGUUAACUAAUUGAGAAAUAGAUUCAGGAUGUUGGGUUGAGCUUUCAUCAUAUAAUAAACUAGGAAUAGUUUUGAAGCAUAACUUUUCCUUUUCUGCUGUUUGGGUUAAAAUGACCAUGAUUAUUAGUUAUCAGUGUCGAAUGUAAUUCCUGUUACAUGGUUUGUGACAAUCAUUGUGUUCCUUUCUUGAGAAUCUUUCAGUCCAAUUAUUUGAUGGGUAGUCAUGGUAUCAAAAUCUAUUAACUAAUAGACCAUUCUCUGUAAGGCUUCUUUUUGACCUUGGACCUGGGUGUAACUGGUUUUUGAAAAAUACUUGUUUAGGAUAUCUUGUGUCACAGCUUGGACUAAUCCAUUUCAUUAUUAGUAGAGCUCCUUUGACAUGAUCAUAUCCUGUACUUCAUGUUAGUUACUUUCUAUUUCUACGUAAUUUAUCGCAUUAUAAGUGUAUGUUCCUCUUCCUUUAAUUACACUCUAUAAUCAGAAUAUGAGAUUGAUAACUGAUGUAUUCUUUGAAGGAAGUGAGCUUUGAAAAUUUAUGCUUGAAAUAGUGGUCAUCACACCAUUCCUGCUAAUAUUUUUUCUUGUGAGCUUGUUUUCUUGGUCCGCAUGAAAGGUACGUUUCAUUCCUACUAAUAUUUUUUCUUGUUAGCUUGUUUUCUUUUCCUUCAUUUGAAUUUUUUGUGGCUUUAUUUUACUUUUUGUGGUUAGAUCUUUUUCUUAAAACUGAAGUCAUAGGAUGAGUUCAAAAUGUUUAUAGCACAAUGUUUUGUAACUUUUGUAGAAUUGACUAGCUUAAAUGGCUGGUCCUAGGAUUGCCCAUGCUACCUUGAAAGGUCCGAGUGUGGUUAAGGACAUCAUAAUUGGAAUAACACUUGGCUUAGCUGCUGGUGGUGUGUGGAAGAUGCACCACUAUAAUAACAAAAAAAAAAUUAUAUAUAUAUAUAACUGACAAUAAAAAAGUCAUAAUAACAAUAUAUAUACUUUUCUUUUUAUUGUGUUUUUCCCUUUACUUUUCUUUUCUUCGGUUGUUACAAUUCUUAUCAAAGACCAGCUUCAAGUCCUGCCGUCAUCUUCCUCAAUUGCAGUCCAAUGAAGUAAUGUUUUAAGCCUUUAUAGCAGCGCAUCGGUGCAACGCAACAAAAAGCUCUACGUUCAAAUUUAACACAAAUCAAACACAUCUUAACCCUUUUUUUUUCUGAUGAUACCUUACUUUUAAAAGCCAAUUUGUUUUUUGCAAGCGAUUCCAAUGGCUGUAACACCAAACAAAAAGUUUAGAAUUGGCUGAGAUUUGUUCUUUAGGUUUUGAUGGAUGAUAAGAAGUUAUCACAAUUGGCAGAAUAUAUAGACUCGAAAGUGAUAUGGCAUCCUCAUGUCCUCAUUAUUAAAUCAUGAAGAUUGUGUCGUUCAUUACAUCUAUGCCUAGUCUGAGUUGGCUGCCACUUAAUUCAUAUACAGCAAAUAUUUUUUUCCUAUUUCAUUUUCAUUUUUUUAGGGACGGGCUGACGAGGAUUGGGAAGUGGGAACUCAGAUUUACUUUCUCAAAACCCCAGAAAGAGAAAUUGAACAUAUGUUUCUAAGAUCUAACAUGUAUUGAUUGGUAUGUUGAUGGCCUGAUCCUGAUGGUACCAAGUUCUUUAAAAUUAGAUUUUAAUGUGGCUGGAUCAACCCUAUCAUAUACUUUAAAUUUCAUUCCCUUUUCCUUUUUCAUCUAUGUCUUUUUUUUUCUUCUUCCUUUUAAAUCAGUCGUGACGGAAUUUGCGGAGAAGGACCUCGAUCGAUUUUAAAAGAUGAUUCCUAACUUCAUCUUCUGAUUGAGCAUAACAAACUUGAAAACAACUUUUUUCUUUAUGAUUCCUUGAUUUUAAAUGAAUGAUGCGCUAAAUAAACUUUUGGACAUGCCAAAGUCAACAAGUGCUUCUUUAAUGUGUUCUGAUUACUAACAUGAAUUGAUACCCUGAUAAUUAUUUUCUCUUUUCAUAUAAGCAUGAACCGUGUUAUCAAACAUCAAUGGUAUUUCGAAUUGGCUGAAUAACAUGAACGAGGUAUAAAAAAUAGACCUCUUUCAUGUUACUCAGAAAUUUCUUUCUCCAUCCAUGCAUAAAGCUAGCCAUAUCUAACAUUCACCCAUGCAAUGUUAUUUCUUUAUCUAUUUUCAUCACAUCAACUAUUUUAUCACGCCAUUCUUGUACACAAAGAAAUUAUAUAAAUAAAAUUUCUGUUAUAUAAUUUUAAAGGUUGAAAAUAUCUUCUUAAUAAUUAAUUGCUAACAAUAUAUAAUUUUAAAAAAUGUUAUAUGGAAGAACUACAUGUGCUUAAAAGUUAAUAGAUUAUUUACUUAGUUAACUUUUAUUUUCCUAUUUUAUCUCCAAUAAUUAAUUGAUUAAUAUAAAAAAAAAACACUACGUACAAAUAAGUCUAUGAAUUUAAUUUAAAUACUAUUAAAGAUUCUAUAGUGGAUAUUAAGAAUGAGAAUAAGUUGGCUAUUAGGAGAUUAUAACACGGCUUAUAUAUAACGAGGUCUAACGCACAUGAUUUAUUUCAAUUCAUUUUGGCCAGGUACUUUAUUUUUGUAAGCUGGAGGUUCCCUUUUGACUAUGGAUAUGGUGACUCCGAUCAGAAAUGAUUGAAAAGUCUGUGCCCCAUGACCAUGUGUUUCAACGAAAAAAAUAUUAGAUAAUGGGAGAAACGAAGAACGAAGCAUACAACGAGGACCUUCUAGAUCAAGUCAAUGGUGAAGCGAGCUAGAUAGAUAUUGUUUCUAGGGCUAUGUUGGGAUUCACAGUAUGGGAUUCAGAGACUUUCUACUAAAGUCGGAGUUGCUUUGUGCUAUUAUGGAUUUUGGAUUUGAGCAUCCUACUGAAGGAAAUUUUGUUAGCAGAGAAUUAAUUUUUGAGGGAAAAACGACUGAGACCAACCUCGGUGAAAGAGUGACCAUAUUAUAGAUAAUAAUAUAUAAUAAUACUGCAAAGUGUAAAAAAUAGAGUUUGUAACAAUUUUUCAAGUGUGAAAAAUUGAUACUAGUUAAUUCUUCAAUUGCCAAGUGUGAAAAAAAUUGGAUUUGGAAGGACCAUUUUAUAGGCACCACACCAAUCUUCUCUAAUCAGAUUCACCCACGCCCUAAUAUGUUUUUUUAGGG